rnacentral:misc_RNA from 1 species
ACGAGUUAGGGUCUCCUAGGCCCGAUCUCCCAACCCUUUGUUUAUUAAACCUUGUGUUGCUUCGGCGGGUCCGCCCUCCCAGGGCCGCCGGAGGAAGGUCGUGAGACGCUCCUCUGGCCCGCGCCCGCCGACGGCCAAACCUCAAAAAUUCUUGAACGAAUCGUGUUUUGAUGUCUGAGUCUUUGAUUAAAUCAAAAUAA